GAUGAACGCUGGCGGCGUGCCUAAUACAUGCAAGUCGAGCGAAUGGAUUAAGAGCUUGCUCUUAUGAAGUUAGCGGCGGACGGGUGAGUAACACGUGGGUAACCUGCCCAUAAGACUGGGAUAACUCCGGGAAACCGGGGCUAAUACCGGAUAACAUUUUGAACCGCAUGGUUCGAAAUUGAAAGGCGGCUUCGGCUGUCACUUAUGGAUGGACCCGCGUCGCAUUAGCUAGUUGGUGAGGUACCGGCUCACCAAGGCAACGAUGCGUAGCCGACCUGGAAGGGUGGACGGCCACACUGGGACUGAGAAACGGCCCAGACUCCUACGGGAGGCAGCAGUAGGGAAUCUUCCGCAAUGGAGGAAAGUCUGACGGAGCAACGCCGCGUGAGAGAUGAAGGCUUUCGGGUCGUAAAACUCUGUUGUUAGGGAAGAACAAGUGCUAGUUGAAUAAGCUGGCACCUUGACGGUACCUAACCAGAAAGCCACGGCUAACUACGUGCCAGCCGCCGCCGUAA
rnacentral:rRNA from 1 species